GACGUAGGGCGCGAGCGUUGUCCGGAUUUAUUGGGCGUAAAGAGCUCGUAGGCGGCUUGUCGCGUCGAAUGUGAAAACUCGGGGCUCAACUCCGAGCUUGCAUUCGAUACGGGCAGACUAGAGUGCGGUAGGGGAGAUUGGAAUUCCUGGUGUAGCGGUGGAAUGCGCAGAUAUCAGGAGGAACACCGGUGGCGAAGGCGGGUCUCUGGGCCGAUACUGACGCUGAGGAGCGAAAGCGUGGGGGAGCGAACAGG
rnacentral:rRNA from 1 species